rnacentral:lncRNA from 1 species
AUGUUUCAGGCCGCUCACCAGGAACUGCCUGGCCAUCAGGGGCAGCACAGGAUUGGGGCCCAAUGGGAGGAGAGCCGGGCAGAGGACUGCAUUGUGAGGACGGCGCUGGCAGGCAUGCAGCGCCCCGCUGAGGGAGCCCCCGGAACGGGACUUCCUGGACAGCUGCCCCAUCCAUGCAGACUCCCUCCUGGACCCCUCUUGGGCCUGCAUUCCCGCCCUGCAGGAGGGGAUGGUGAGAAAGUGAGCUCUGUGGUCGGCACCCAGGGGCACUUGGCCACUGUGGCCCCAAGUCUUUGGAAGGUCCUCCUUUUUUGUCCUCUACUUCUUGGUGCAGCUGCACUCCCAGGAGAAUCCACCACCUGAACUCCUGGCCCAGCUGGAGCAAGCUGAGCCCACUGAGGCACAGCCCACGGGUGAGGAGGAUGGGUGUGGGCCUGUGGGCAUGAGGGGAGGGAUGGGCCUUUAGACACAGAGACAGCUUCCGGGUGCUGGGGUGACCUGGGAUCACUGAGACCUCAGCCGUCAUGGUCUGGGAGGACUUCCUGGGGAGGCUUUG